rnacentral:rRNA from 1 species
AUUGAACGCUGGCGGCAGGCCUAACACAUGCAAGUCGAGCGGAUGAAGGGAGCUUGCUCUUGGAUUCAGCUGCGGACGGGUGAGUAAUUCCUAGGUAUCUGACUGGUAGAUGGGGAUAACGUCCGGAAACGGGCGCUAAUAUCGUAUACGUUCUUAGGGUGAACGUGGGGGAUCUUUGGACCUAACGCUAUCUGCUGACCCUAGGUCGGAUUAGCUAGUUGGUAGGGUAAAGGCCUACCAAGGCGACGAUCCGUAACUGGUCUGAGAGGAUGAUCAGUCACACUGGAACUGAGACACGGUCCAGACUCCUACGGGAGGCAGCAGUGGGGAAUAUUGGACAAUGGGCGAAAGCCUGAUCGAGCCAUGCCGCGUGUGUGAAGAAGGUCUUCGGAUUGUAAAGCACUUUAAGUUGGGAGGAAGGGCAGUAAGUUAAUACCUUGCUGUUUUGACGUUACCAACAGAAAAAGCACCGGCUAACUUCGUG